rnacentral:rRNA from 1 species
AAAUUGAAGAGUUUGAUCAUGGCUCAGAUUGAACGCUGGCGGCAGGCCUAACACAUGCAAGUCGAACGGUAACAGAAAGAAGCUUGCUUCUUUGCUGACGAGUGGCGGACGGGUGAGUAAUGUCUGGGAAACUGCCUGAUGGAGGGGGAUAACUACUGGAAACGGUAGCUAAUACCGCAUAACGUCGCAAGACCAAAGAGGGGGACCUUCGGGCCUCUUGCCAUCGGAUGUGCCCAGAUGGGAUUAGCUUGUUGGUGGGGUAACGGCUCACCAAGGCGACGAUCCCUAGCUGGUCUGAGAGGAUGACCAGCCACACUGGAACUGAGACACGGUCCAGACUCCUACGGGAGGCAGCAGUGGGGAAUAUUGCACAAUGGGCGCAAGCCUGAUGCAGCCAUGCCGCGUGUAUGAAGAAGGCCUUCGGGUUGUAAAGUACUUUCAGCGGGGAGGAAGGGAGUAAAGUUAAUACCUUUACUCAUUGACGUUACCCGCAGAAGAAGCACCGGCUAACUCCGUGCCAGCAGCCGCGGUAAUACGGAGGGUGCAAGCGUUAAUCGGAAUUACUGGGCGUAAAGCGCACGCAGGCGGUUUGUUAAGUCAGAUGUGAAAUCCCCGGGCUCAACCUGGGAACUGCAUCUGAUACUGGCAAGCUUGAGUCUCGUAGAGGGGGGUAGAAUUCCAGGUGUAGCGGUGAAAUGCGUAGAGAUCUGGAGGAAUACCGGUGGCGAAGGCGGCCCCCUGGACGAAGACUGACGCUCAGGUGCGAAAGCGUGGGGAGCAAACAGGAUUAGAUACCCUGGUAGUCCACGCCGUAAACGAUGUCGACUUGGAGGUUGUGCCCUUGAGGCGUGGCUUCCGGAGCUAACGCGUUAAGUCGACCGCCUGGGGAGUACGGCCGCAAGGUUAAAACUCAAAUGAAUUGACGGGGGCCCGCACAAGCGGUGGAGCAUGUGGUUUAAUUCGAUGCAACGCGAAGAACCUUACCUGGUCUUGACAUCCACGGAAGUUUUCAGAGAUGAGAAUGUGCCUUCGGGAACCGUGAGACAGGUGCUGCAUGGCUGUCGUCAGCUCGUGUUGUGAAAUGUUGGGUUAAGUCCCGCAACGAGCGCAACCCUUAUCCUUUGUUGCCAGCGGUCCGGCCGGGAACUCAAAGGAGACUGCCAGUGAUAAACUGGAGGAAGGUGGGGAUGACGUCAAGUCAUCAUGGCCCUUACGACCAGGGCUACACACGUGCUACAAUGGCGCAUACAAAGAGAAGCGACCUCGCGAGAGCAAGCGGACCUCAUAAAGUGCGUCGUAGUCCGGAUUGGAGUCUGCAACUCGACUCCAUGAAGUCGGAAUCGCUAGUAAUCGUGGAUCAGAAUGCCACGGUGAAUACGUUCCCGGGCCUUGUACACACCGCCCGUCACACCAUGGGAGUGGGUUGCAAAAGAAGUAGGUAGCUUAACCUUCGGGAGGGCGCUUACCACUUUGUGAUUCAUGACUGGGGUGAAGUCGUAACAAGGUAACCGUAGGGGAACCUGCGGUUGGAUCACCUCCUUACCUUAAAGAAGC